AACUAAGUUUGUUAUUGGUAUGAGCUUUCGUGUGCAUGCACACUUCUUCAGAUACCUAUGGAAGGCACCACAUUGAGCUGCAUGAAAUGGAAGUCCAUCAACCUCACUGAUAUCUGAAGAAGUGUGCAUGCACAUGAAAGCUUAUACCAAUAACAAACUUAGUUGG